UGGGGAAUAUUGGACAAUGGGGGCAACCCUGAUCCAGCGAUGCCGCGUGGGUGAAGAAGGCCUUCGGGUUGUAAAGCCCUUUAGGUUGGGAAGAAGGAUGUUAUCGGAUAAUGGUAGCAUUUUGACGGUACCGACAGAAUAAGCACCGGCAAACUCUGUGCCAGCAGCCGCGGUAAUACAGAGGGUGCAAGCGUUAAUCGGAAUUACUGGGCGUAAAGGGCGCGUAGGCGGUUAUGUGAGUGUGAUGUGAAAGCCCCGGGCUUAACCUGGGAAGUGCAUCGCAAACGACAUGACUGGAGUAUAUGAGAGGGUGGUGGAAUUUCCGGUGUAGCGGUGAAAUGCGUAGAGAUCGGAAGGAACGUCAAUGGCGAAGGCAGCCACCUGGCAUAAUACUGACGCUGAGGCGCGAGAGCGUGGGGAGCGAACAGGAUUAGAUACCCCCGUAGUCCCUGAGCGGGCUGGCAAGGCGCAU
rnacentral:rRNA from 1 species